CUGCCUAAUACAUGCAAGUCGAACGAACUCUGGUAUUGAUUGGUGCUUGCAUCAUGAUUUACAUUUGAGUGAGUGGCGAACUGGUGAGUAACACGUGGGAAACCUGCCCAGAAGCGGGGGAUAACACCUGGAAACAGAUGCUAAUACCGCAUAACAACUUGGACCGCAUGGUCCGAGUUUGAAAGAUGGCUUCGGCUAUCACUUUUGGAUGGUCCCGCGGCGUAUUAGCUAGAUGGUGGGGUAACGGCUCACCAUGGCAAUGAUACGUAGCCGACCUGAGAGGGUAAUCGGCCACAUUGGGACUGAGACACGGCCCAAACUCCUACGGGAGGCAGCAGUAGGGAAUCUUCCACAAUGGACGAAAGUCUGAUGGAGCAACGCCGCGUGAGUGAAGAAGGGUUUCGGCUCGUAAAACUCUGUUGUUAAAGAAGAACAUAUCUGAGAGUAACUGUUCAGGUAUUGACGGUAUUUAACCAGAAAGCCACGGCUAACUACGUGCCAGCAGCCGCGGUAAUACGUAGGUGGCAAGCGUUGUCCGGAUUUAUUGGGCGUAAAGCGAGCGCAGGCGGUUUUUUAAGUCUGAUGUGAAAGCCUUCGGCUCAACCGAAGAAGUGCAUCGGAAACUGGGAAACUUGAGUGCAGAAGAGGACAGUGGAACUCCAUGUGUAGCGGUGAAAUGCGUAGAUAUAUGGAAGAACACCAGUGGCGAAGGCGGCUGUCUGGUCUGUAACUGACGCUGAGGCUCGAAAGUAUGGGUAGCAAACAGGAUUAGAUACCCUGGUAGUCCAUACCGUAAACGAUGAAUGCUAAGUGUUGGAGGGUUUCCGCCCUUCAGUGCUGCAGCUAACGCAUUAAGCAUUCCGCCUGGGGAGUACGGCCGCAAGGCUGAAACUCAAAGGAAUUGACGGGGGCCCGCACAAGCGGUGGAGCAUGUGGUUUAAUUCGAAGCUACGCGAAGAACCUUACCAGGUCUUGACAUACUAUGCAAAUCUAAGAGAUUAGACGUUCCCUUCGGGGACAUGGAUACAGGUGGUGCAUGGUUGUCGUCAGCUCGUGUCGUGAGAUGUUGGGUUAAGUCCCGCAACGAGCGCAACCCUUAUUAUCAGUUGCCAGCAUUAAGUUGGGCACUCUGGUGAGACUGCCGGUGACAAACCGGAGGAAGGUGGGGAUGACGUCAAAUCAUCAUGCCCCUUAUGACCUGGGCUACACACGUGCUACAAUGGAUGGUACAACGAGUUGCGAACUCGCGAGAGUAAGCUAAUCUCUUAAAGCCAUUCUCAGUUCGGAUUGUAGGCUGCAACUCGCCUACAUGAAGUCGGAAUCGCUAGUAAUCGCGGAUCAGCAUGCCGCGGUGAAUACGUUCCCGGGCCUUGUACACACCGCCCGUCACACCAUGAGAGUUUGUAACACCCAAAGUCGGUGGGGUAACCUUUUAGGAACCAGCCGCCUAAGGUGGGACAGAUGAUUAGGGUGAAGUCGUAACAAGGUAGCCAUGCC
rnacentral:rRNA from 1 species